CAGCCAUUUUACUUGGUCAGUUACCAGAUCUUUUGAUGCAACCGAUCGUCUUUGUGGUUUGAGUCGCGCUUCGUGUCAUUUACAGAAAUACUGACCCAUACUCUAGUUUCAUUGCGGCGAGGAAGUGUGCGUUCAGUUGCACAGACCGGAAAUCCUCUGGCGCCAAAUCCUCCGAGCAAGUCGUGAAUGUCUAUGUUGUCCUUAAAGAAACUCUUCGAAGGAGCAUUUACAUCACUACAAGAAAAUAGUCCUUAAACUUCUCGAAGCAACAUCUAUAAACACUGCAAGAAAAAUAAUUGUUUAAGCCUUUGAGUUUUAAUAAUUUCAUCUAACCAGUGGCCCGAUGUGUGAGGAAGAUGUUGGUAAUUAGAUUUUAAACGAAACUUCAAGGACAGGAGCUGAUCGUAGUCUAGGUUACUUGGCGAGGGAGGAGACCGCUGGCAGAAGUAAUUGUAUCCAUAAAAAGUUGCAAGUACGCGUCACAAUGGUUUCAUCGCUGACAGCAGUGAGUUUCUUAGCCAUGUUUAAAGGCAACACUGCAAACUCAAUUAUUUUAAACCGACGAUUAUACGAAAGGACUGUGGAUUUAUCACAGAUUAAUCGCCGAUUAUUUUUAAUCAGCAUAUUCUUGCGAUUGUUUUUGUUUGAACAGUGGUGGUCAUUAACAACAAAAAUGCUCCCAAACUGGCAGUGAAGCUUCAGUCUGGGGAUAAGGAAAACCCAACCAGUUGGGCUGAGUUUGUAAAUAGAACCUCGGUAAUGCUAUGAACAUGAAUACAGUCGCUUCCAACCCUCCUCCUGCAAAAUUAACGAAGAAAAAAACCAAUUUAAACAACAAAUUGAAAGUAAAACCCAAAGAUGUCAAUAACGUUAAAAACAAUCGUAAUCGUAAGGUAAUAGGAAAUUAUGAAUUUUCUAAAAAGGCAAAGUUUUGGGUAGAUUGUAAUGCUACGUUCAUUUGAGAAAUUCAUUAACCCUCAAAUUAUUUUCACUGAUCGUUCCAGCAAAAGAGUAAUUCGCGAACAGAAGACCAGGAAUCAACUAAAGGAGGGUGGUGGCAAAAAAAUGUUAAUGAGACGCCAUUUCCUGGAAAAUAUUCCUCAAAACUUUAUACCCAAGAGGGACUUCUAAAUCCAGUGAAACGAACAUUUAAUUUUGAAAGGAAAGAGAAGAGCAGUUCCAGUACAUCAACAUCACAGUCAGGUGCACAGCUGACCAAAUCUGUUCCGAGUCCAUUACCCUUAACUGAGGUGCGGAGGAAUACGUCUCCUUUGAGAGUUCUUAGAAGCACUACCAGACAGAAAACCGUGCACCCUGUACCUCAAAAGGGUUAGUAAAGGCGGUUUCUUUUCACCAACCAGUCAAGGUUCAUUUCGAUCGUCUGUCAAGCGUUUUCCAACCAUUUACUUUGUUCCUAAAGAAGGGCCGGCACCAGGACACUAUGACGUGAAGGAUCAGACUCUGACUCAGAUCAUGAGUUCCCCCUUUCAGUCCAAAGUGCCUCGGUUUUUACCUAGCACCAGCAAAACGCCAGGACCAGGAACAUAUGAGACUGUCAGACAAGUGCCAAGCUGGACCAAAGCUUCCCCCCGUUACCUCUAUUACUAAUUAAACAUUUUAAAUCUACACAAUCUUGCAACAGAUUUCAUUCAAGUUCGCAAACAUAAAACUUUCCAAUACAACGUACGUCUUGAAUUCCUUAGCGUGAUCUGACAGGUUUAAGAGCCCAAGUCAGAAAGCCAUAGUGGAGACCAGGAUAUGGCCAACAGACUGAACAAUUUGGUUGCUAAACUGAACAAAAUAGUUUCUGUGAACUUACUUCAACUACCACAGUGAAGAUUAAGGAGGAAAAAUCACCAGAGUACUAAAGCAAAGAUGUUUUGCUGAAUCGUUAUAGCUGAUCCUGGUGCUCAUCAGAUUUGUUCAGAUUCUUUGAUAAUUUAUAAAAGUUUCCAGAACCCUGUUGCCUUAGAUUUGACCUUGGACCAUGAAGAAAACGGCAUAGUGUACAGUCUGAAGAAGGGUCAUGAACGGAAACGUCACCCAUUCCUUCUAUCCAGAGAUGCUGCCUAUCCCGCUGAGUUACUCCAGCAAUUUGUGUCUAUCUUCCAUGGUGUAACCAAAUGGGUAUGAAAGAGAUAAAAGAGGUAACUUUUAAUUACUUCUCAUCUAUGGAUAGGAUAGGUUUAGAGGGA